rnacentral:rRNA from 1 species
UACGUAGGGUGCAAGCGUUGUCCGGAAUUAUUGGGCGUAAAGAGCGUGUAGGCGGCCCGACCAGUCCGCUGUGAAAGUCCAGGGCUCAACCCCUGGAAUGCCGGUGGAUACUGUCGGGCUAGAGUCCGGAAGGGGCGAGUGGAAUUCCUGGUGUAGCGGUGAAAUGCGCAGAUAUCAGGAGGAACACCAAUGGCGAAGGCAGCUCGCUGGGACGUGACUGACGCUGAGACGCGAAAGCGUGGGGAGCAAACAGG